UUCCAACGUAUCUCUCCCCCCACUUCGACUCUUUCGAGGCCCCUCCGGUCUCCCCCUCGGGACCUCAACAUGGCGCCUCUCCUUGCUGAUUGUGGCGGCCAAUAACCUGAUUCGGGGGUUUCUCCGGAGGACGAUAAGUCGGUCUCUUUGUUCUCUGUUUGUUCCUCCUCUCUCGCGGGAUUUCUCUUUUCUUGGGAGUUUUCGCUUGCAAUUUUGGUUCUUGCAAGCUCGUUUGAUUGCUAUCUGUUAAAUAUGUUGGUGGAAUUCAUGGAAAAAUUCCUUUUUCCGAAGGAUAUUGGACGAGUCCAGCUCAAUUUUGGAAUUUUCUUUCAUGUUCUUUGCCACCACUCUGAUGUAAGAAGGGUUCUCGUGACCUUACGGCAAUCUGGAUUUUCGUGUGAGGGAAUUGUGGAAGAAGCACCAUUUUUUUCAUGAAAGCAUCUUAUUUUCAAUCCCCCCUUUAGGAAAUGUAGAUGCACUGGCUGUGAAAUACAAUCUGUUCGUGUGUGCUUCGAAUUUUCUGUCAAGAACUGUAUCCCAAACUUUUUCUUGGCAAUGUGCAUCUAGUUCACUUCUCAAAUGGGUUCCUUAUGCUACUUAGAUCUCCGAAUCUUACAAAUCAGGGUCAUUUCCCUGGUUUUUACUUGUUUCUAAAGUCGCGUAUUUUGUUCAAGUGCUCGAGUUUGCCAAUGCUCAGUAUUGCGGCUAAUCACUGGCCAGUCGUCACUCUUCUUUCAAUUUGAUUUAAGUCUUUUGAUUCCUCGAGUUUUCUUGGGUUAUUCCCUUUAUCUUGUUUUCAGACUCAUCCUGUUUCAUCCCGCAAAUGAGGACUUCCUCUCGUAAGCUGGCAAGAUCUGAUUGUUUUAAUGUGAUGACAUGCACUUUUCUUGCUUCUUAGCUCAAGAAAUUCGAUGACAUGUUCUUUGAAUUUUUUUCUUCCUGAAAUGCCUCAUUUCUUGAUGAAUUGCUCCAACAUUUUGGCAUUAAUUAUUCAUCGUAGUUUCAGUCUGAAAAGCAUUCUUCUUUAAGUGAGGUUUUAUCAUGGUAUGAUUAUUGUCUUCCUUGUUUUCUUAGGUUUCCUUUGCUCUUGGCAAUAUUAGUUGCCGCUCUUGCAUUCAAGUGAUAAUAACACAAGCCUGGAGAAAUUUGUUGAUGAUUCUUCUCAUUAGAUCUCUGUCAGAAUACUUUAAAUCGCAUAAAAUUUUCCCUCUCUUUAUUCUUCAUCUGAAGAAAUAUGAGGUCAGGUUCGAAGAAGGGUUGAAAUUCCCUCAUGCUUCUUUGGCUAGACAGGAGAUCUUGCAGCCAUUUUUGUAUGUUUCCAAAGGUUUGGUCUGCCAGCCAUACACCAGGAAAUGCGCCAGUUUAUCUGAAUGUAUAUGACUUGCCACCAAUGAAUGGUUAUAUGUACUGGGCAGGCCUUGGGAUAUUUCACACCGGUGUUGAAGUUCAUGGGGUGGAAUAUGUAUUUGGAGCACAUGACUAUCCGAGUAGCGGAGUCUUUGAGGUUGAGCCUCGUCAGUGUCCAGGCUUCAUGUUUAAGAAAUCAAUAUUCAUGGGUACGACAUGCUUGGACUCAUUGCAGGUUAGAGAGUUUAUGGAACUUCAGUCCGUUAAUUACAGUGGAGACACCUACCACUUGAUCAUGAAGAACUUUAACCAUUUCUGCAAAGAAAUCUGUCAUAAGAUGACCGGUAACUCCGAUUCCAAAAUGGGUGAACCGACUUGUAUGCUUCUUUUUUGUUUAAAGCAUGAACAACUGUCGUUUCUGGAAGAAUUGUAUUCUGGUGAUCAUGAAGUAGUUCUGCAGUUUUCCUGCAUCUGAUGUUCCUGUUGCACAACUCAAAAUAUUGAUAACCACUUCAUGACUAUAUUUUUUGACAUCAAUGAUAUUAUCAUAAAAAAAAGUAUUAGAAGCCACUUCAAAUAUAGAGAGGAAAAUGUUGAUCCGAUCAUUAUUGUUUCAGUUUCUUGGCAAUGUAUUUAUAGCAAGGUCUGAAAUAUCGGUGCUUGUUCUGUAACCUAGAGUUCAGAUUUAUGGUUGGCUUGACCUUCAUAUAUUUUUGGAUGCACGUGGGAGAUUUUAAAAUUACCAAGUUUUGUAAGAAUAGAAUAACUGGAUUCUAUUGGGUGCUGGGACACUAGGCAAUUGUCUCUAGAUACAUCUUUAGAGAAAUUUAUUCUCUUGAAUGUUAAUCUCUGGUGAUGAAGAAGAUGGACAUGUGUUAAGAUUUGUUUGGUCUUACUUAGCAUUUGUUCUAUUAGUUCUCUUUCUUCUUGAUUGCAAUUUGGUAGACAUCGAGUCAGAUGAUUGCCAGCAAGUAUUUGAAUGCAUUAUGAAACAUGAACAAUGUACAUUAGUUCUCUUUCUUUUUUAUUUUGGUUAUGGUGUCUUCUAGUUAAAUGUUAUGGAGAAGCAAAUUUUGAUUGUCUGUAUGGAUUGAGCUUCAACAUCCUCCCUAAGGGCACUCUUCACCGGCAUUAUAACCAAGAUGAGUGAAAUAUCCUUUUCCAUUUGUUUGUGGCAAGCAGUGUAUCACUUCAACUUUGAUCAUUUUGUGUAGUUUUUUCUUAUUCUAAUUUGGCUAUUGAUCUUCCUGGACAUAUCAAAUGCUAUGGCAAUAUGCUUCUCUGCAGGUUCCCUUUGCAAAUGCUGACUGCCUGAUAACUGCUGUUCAGCAUGACCCAGAUUUCCAAUCCUAGGAUGGAGAGAGGAGGCAGCUGAGAACUGCUUUCAGUUGUCUAUCCUCGAUUUCUAUGUGCCAGAGGCAGUACACUAUUUCUUCUCUUUUCUUGACAUCUCGUUUUAGAGGGUGCCUUUCACACUGGGAGUUAAGAAGGUCUAAUGUCAUUCCUUUGUAGGAAACCUGAAAAUAUCAUCAUCUGUUGACCGAGAAAGGUGUUGAUCGAGAAAGGAGUUACAGUUCUGAGCUCCUUUUUUUUUUUUGGUGGAAAAGCUUGUCACGAGUGUUGACCAUAAUAUAGGAAGAUGGAUGUGAUGUGAGCUUUGGCCUUGUUACUUAAGUUCAUCAUCGAUGAGAAUUCUGCGGCAGAAUGUUCGUUUGAUGUCAAUACUAAAUGAAGGGUAGAGGAAGAAACAUAAUGGACAAUGGACAUUACAACAGCAGAGACAAGCAGCAGGGUUGGGUUUUCACACCACCACUACCACCACAAGGACUCCUCAAAAGCUGCAAGAAAGUGACAACCAUGAG